UACGAAGGGGGCUAGCGUUGUUCGGAUUUACUGGGCGUAAAGCGCACGUAGGCGGAUUAUUAAGUCGGGGGUGAAAUCCUGGAGCUCAACUCCAGAAUUGCCUUCGAUACUGGCUUUCUAGAGGCUGGAAGAGGUUAGUGGAAUUCCCAGUGUAGAGGUGAAAUUCGUAGAUAUUGGGAAGAACACCAGUGGCGAAGGCGGCUAACUGGUCCAGAUCUGACGCUGAGGUGCGAAAGCGUGGGGAGCAAACAGG
rnacentral:rRNA from 1 species